CGUCCAACAGCUAGCGCAUUAAACCAAUCACAAUAUACCCCCUAUAAAUAACCCCUAACACACUAAGACUUAAUUAAGCAAACCAUUUUUCCCCCCUAGUAUGGGAGACAGAAAAGGAACAAAGAAGCAAUAGAAAAAGUACCGCAAGGGAACGCUGAAAAAGAAAUGAAAUAACCCAGUAAAACUUUAAAAAGCAGAGAUUAACCCUCGUACCUUUUGCAUCAUGAUUUAGCCAGUGUAACUCAGGCAAAGAGCACUUUAGUCUGUUUACCCGAAACUAUAUGAGCUACUCCAAGACAGCCUAUUUAUAGGGCAAACCCGUCCCUGUGGCAAAAGGGUGGGGAGAGCUUUGAGUAGAGGUGAAAAACCUACCGAAUAUAGUUAUAGCUGGUUGCCCGAGAAUUGAAUAGAAGUUCAGCCCCUCCGUUCCUCUCUUCAUCUUCGUUUACCCUAACUGAUAUCAAAGGAACUGAGGGAGUUAGUCAAAGGGGGUACAGCCCCUUUGAAUUAAGACACAACUUUUUAAGGAGGAUAAGGAUCAUAUUAAAAAUAAGGACAUUAUACUCUGGUGGGCCUAAAAGCAGCCAUCCAAAUAGAAAGCGUUACAGCUCGAGUAUUAAUUACUCCUUUUAUACUGAUCACUUAGUCUUAAUCCCCUACAUUUACUGGGCCGUCCCAUGCAACCAUGGGAGCGACCAUGCUAAUAUGAGUAAUAAGAGACCCCGCAUCUCUCCUAGCACAUGUGUAAAUCGGAACGGACUCCCCUCCGAACAUUAACGGCCCCAGACAAAGAGGGAACUGAGCAACAACCUAAAGAACUAGAAAAACACUCAAACAUAACCGUUAACCCUACACAGGCAUGCAUUUAAGGAAAGACCAAAAGAAAAAGAAGGAACUCGGCAAACACACCAAGCCUCGCCUGUUUACCAAAAACAUCGCCUCUUGUAACCACCAAAAUAAGAGGUCCCGCCUGCCCUGUGACUAUUAGUUUAACGGCCGCGGUAUUUUGACCGUGCGAAGGUAGCGCAAUCACUUGUCUUUUAAAUGGAGACCUGUAUGAAUGGCAUAACGAGGGCUUAACUGUCUCCUUUUUCCGGUCAAUGAAAUUGAUCUCCCCGUGCAGAAGCGGGGAUACUAACAUAAGACGAGAAGACCCUAUGGAGCUUUAGACGACAAGUCGGGUCAUGUCAAACAAUCCUAAAUACAGGACCAAACAAAAUGAAAGCCAACUUAAUGUCUUUGGUUGGGGCGACCGCGGGGAAACAAAAAACCCCCAUGUGGAAUGAAAGUAAGAUACUUUUACAAAUUUGAGCCACAGCUCUAAUUAACAGAAUGUCUGACCAGCAGAUCCGGCAAAGCCGAUCAACGGACCCAGUUACCCUAGGGAUAACAGCGCAAUCCCCUUUUAGAGCCCAUAUCGACAAGGGGGUUUACGACCUCGAUGUUGGAUCAGGACAUCCUAAUGGUGCAGCCGCUAUUAAGGGUUCGUUUGUUCAACGAUUAAAGUCCUACGUGAUCUGAGUUCAGACCGGAGUAAUCCAGGUCAGUUUCUAUCUAUGAAAUUACGCUUUUCUAGUACGAAAGGACCGAAAAGAGGGGGCCCAUGCUUAAAGUACGCCUCACCCCUACUUAAUGAAACCAAAUAAAUUAAAUGACGGGGGGAAACCUCACGCCUGAGAAAACGGCAU
rnacentral:rRNA from 1 species